AACGAACGCUGGCGGCAUGCCUAACACAUGCAAGUCGAACGAAGCCUUCGGGCUUAGUGGCGCACGGGUGCGUAACGCGUGGGAAUCUGCCCUUGGGUUCGGAAUAACAGUUAGAAAUGACUGCUAAUACCGGAUGAUGUCUUCGGACCAAAGAUUUAUCGCCCAAGGAUGAGCCCGCGUAGGAUUAGGUAGUUGGUGGGGUAAUGGCCCACCAAGCCGACGAUCCUUAGCUGGUCUGAGAGGAUGAUCAGCCACACUGGGACUGAGACACGGCCCAGACUCCUACGGGAGGCAGCAGUGGGGAAUAUUGGACAAUGGGCGAAAGCCUGAUCCAGCAAUGCCGCGUGAGUGAUGAAGGCCUUAGGGUUGUAAAGCUCUUUUACCAGGGAUGAUAAUGACAGUACCUGGAGAAUAAGCUCCGGCUAACUCCGUGCCAGCCGCCGCAGUAAAAC
rnacentral:rRNA from 1 species